AAUGGGUGGUCCUAAUGGAAACUCAAGGUUUGAAAGGCAGUGAUGUAAGACAAGCAACCCUAGAGAAAGAAGCGGCUGUCACAAAGGCCAGACCCAAAUGCCAUGUUAAGAGAUGGAUGAAGACUAGGAACUGUAGAGAAGGGUAGAACCAGUGUUAACUUCAGCUGAUGUACAUGCUUCUGCCAAAUAAAACUGCACAGCAGUAAAACAGGCAGAGAAGAAAGAAUCAACAGCAAAGGUAGAACUGGAACCAUGGAAAUCUCCAGGAGAGAGGUUGUGUCAAGGACGGCAAGGUAAGGGCAGGGUACUUUUUGAGCGGUGGCAACCAAUAAUUGAUACUUCUGCCUCUGAAUGUUUUCAGAAGAGUAACUUCUGCUCCUCUCUCUCCCAACCUUGUGGAGGAGUGACCUGAUGGCUAAAUUGAGAAUAGAACUGCAAUUCAUGGUUCUCUCUCUGUGGCUACAGGGCAAGGAGCCAUGGAAACUGAAGGAAACUUGGACUGGACAUCAGAGACCAUAGGAGCUGACCUGUAGAGCCCCUUGACUUUACCGGUUAGGUUCAAAAGCUAACCACCAAAUACUAGGGCUAGUGCUUCUUUCAGUGUGCUACCCUCCUCUCUUCUUUCUUCAUCAGUCCUGAGGCAAGCAGGCCCACGCUGCUAAUCCCAAGUUGACCCAGGAGUACACUAAGGCUUGGACAGUUUAGUUGAUCUACCCAAGAACACAGGAACACUCCUGACUUCCAGCCCAGUGUGGUUUCCAUUAGACAUUCUUGCCAUGGCAUGAAAACCACAAUGAGGUCAGGCAGAUAGCUCUGCAACCUGGAACUCUGAGUGAAAUCGGUUAUGACUGCAGCUGACAUACACGGCCCCAUACAGCCCAGCAAGGAAGGGGGCAAAGGUCACACCAAGUCAGGACAGAGGCUGUGCCUCUGCUGUGUUCAGGAAACCUUGAGACAAAUUUCUUCUCCAAUAACAACUCCCUGAUGUAAACUAACCAAAAGAAAGCAAACCCAAGUUUCUGCAUAUUUUAAUUGUUUUGUAUGAUUUUUGCUGGUCUUAGAGUGCUUGUGAGUCAGAAGCAAUUUCAGGAAAUGCUGCCCAUGUCACCAGCUGGAAUCCAGGCUCCUGUUCUGCAAGAGCUUUCAGAUGCAGGCACAUGUUUGAGCAUGCGUGCACACACACACACACACACACACACACACACACAAGCUCUCACACAUGCCUACACUCACAUUCACAAACUGGCACAUUCACAUACACUCACAGGCAUACACACACACGUAAACUCAUAUACACAUACAUUCCCACAUGCAGUGGCACACAAAUUCACAUACAUACACAUACUCACAUACUUAUACAAACACACAUGCUCAUAUAUACUCUCACAUAAUACACACAAACCCACAUACACACACCCAAUCAUACUCCCUCAUAUACACACAUACAUUCGCAUACAUACUCAUGCACUCACACAUACCCACACACGUGCACAUGCACACACGUGCAAACACACAGAGCCAAGACUUAGCUGUGGCCAAGUCUUCCUGACACUAAAUAUAAGCAUGAUAUGCUCGGUGCAAAAGGCACUUGUUGCAUGAGAAUUGAAACUGGAUCAAGUCCACUGAUUAUUUAGCUAUUUCCAAAUAUCUGCAUGUUUUGCUUUGUGGACAUCUGAAUAGUUGGCGGGGGCAAGCUUUUCUCUGUACCUCCUUCCCUCUGGGGAUGUGUGAAUCAGUUGUUCCUAACCAUCCCUUCCCACCAAGCCAUAGCAGUGGGAAGUGAGGUCAGUUAACUGUCUCCGUUGCAAAAGGUACACAUAAAAUUGCCGAUUUGAAGGACGGGGGACUGAAGGGACUUUGCAAAGUGACAGCUGCAGCCCCCUGUCUCAGCAGGGGCCAUCCUUCCGGAGGAAGAGAAGCCGACAGCCCUCCCUACUCCCUCCCCACUUUCUCAUAAGUCCUCAACAAAGGUCUGGAAGCCUUCACACCUUCUAGUCUUUCCACAGGGGUACAUCCCAGGCCACAUCACACUUCCACAGGGACUUUGGAUCUCUGCCGAAUCCAGGAGCCUAGGAUACAGUGAUGGCUCUCUGUCUAUGGGAACAAAAUUCUUUCUGUAAAAUGUGAUACAACAUAAUAAACAAAGGGUAUACAAAA
ensembl:lncRNA novel transcript